AAGAAACCUUGGGAAUUUUAUUGACACACAAACAGUACGGAAAGAACUUGGCUCAGUUUAGAUCCAAAUCCAUUAUCCAAAAGGUUCCUGACCUAAAAACGUACAAAAAUAAUUUAGGAUAUAAAAUUCCGUAUUUCUAGUGAAAUCCUUCUAUACACAUCCAGGUAUUUUACAGUAUCCUUGGCCUGGGAUUCCAAACCCCCCCGCCCCAGGCACAUCCAUUCCUCCAGGAUCAACAAACUGUGCUUCCCAGCAUGUGUUUUUAGAAGGUCCCUGGGGAGGGAGCUCAUCUUCCCUCCCCAUCCAUAGCAAUAGGUCUCUGCUUGCUGAUGGGCAUCAAAGUUCUCCAUCCUCCUUCCAUCAUCCUUUGAUGGAUGCUUGACAGAGCACUGAUGGAUGCAUGGAGCAUCCACUGAUGGAUGGUUGAAGGAGCUGUCCCAAUGUGUUUACUCAUGAAAAUAAAAGGUUAAUUAGAGCAAUUCCAUAUGAUUAAAUCCCAAAAAUGGAAUAGCUGGAGACCAGACGACAGCUCGUGGUUGCCUGAGGUGGUGUCUUGUUGGAGACCUGCCCUUGCAAGACACGUGCUCUCAGCUCCUCCCAGGCAUUAACGGGAUACCAAUACGGAUUCCACGUCCUCCUCCCUGGAUGACCUGGUGCAUCAGGCCGUGGCUUGGAAAGCAGCAGCUCUGGACGGGCUCUCUCCAGCGUUAUUCCUUCUUGGAAAGCCGAGCAGAGAAGAUCCUGGCGAUUCUCUGGGUCUCCUCUUCCGAGAUCUGAGCCGUGGGCCGGGGCCGCCGGUGCGGGACGCUCCGCAGCACCGCUGCGCCCUGCGGGGACAAGGGACAGCAGUGAGGAGCCAGUGUCCUCUGGACACCCAUCCGGGGUCCUGCCGCGAGGGAGAAGUGGGAUACGCAGGGAAAGACCCUCGUGAGGUGGUUCCUGCUGCUCACAGUUCUCCUUGAGGGGGGUUUCUCCUCUUCCUCGCACUGAAAAGCAACUGUUUGGGUAAAAAACCUGUUAGUUCCAAGUGUUUGGAUAUAAAACCUGUUUGUUC
rnacentral:lncRNA from 1 species